rnacentral:rRNA from 1 species
UACGGAGGAUGCAAGCGUUAUCCGGAUUCAUUGGGUUUAAAGGGUGCGCAGGCGGGCUAAUAAGUCAGGGGUGAAAUACUACGGCUCAACCGUGGAACUGCCUUUGAUACUGUUAGUCUUGAGUUUAAUUGAAGUGGGCGGAAUGUAGCAUGUAGCGGUGAAAUGCAUAGAGAUGCUACAGAACACCGAUAGCGAAGGCAGCUCACUAAGUUACAACUGACGCUCAUGCACGAAAGCGUGGGGAUCAAACAGG